rnacentral:rRNA from 1 species
CACGUGGGGCGCAAGCGUUGUCCGGAAUUAUUGGGCGUAAAGAGCUCGUAGGCGGUUCGUCGCGUCGGCUGUGAAAACCCGGAGCUCAACUCCGGGCCUGCAGUCGAUACGGGCGGACUUGAGUGUUGCAGGGGAGACUGGAAUUCCUGGUGUAGCGGUGAAAUGCGCAGAUAUCAGGAGGAACACCGGUGGCGAAGGCGGGUCUCUGGGCAACUACUGACGCUGAGGAGCGAAAGCGUGGGGAGCGAACAGG